CAACAGGUCAUCUGAAAAUCUCUUGGUGAUCGCCUUCUCAAUGCCGAAUAAAACCCUUAACCCACAUAUACCAGGAACGAUGUCUCAGGAUUCUCCAGUUAAUUAUUCUGCCACUGAAGAAGAUUCAACGGUUCAGAAGAGUUGCUCAGGCAAAGAUUCUCUCAUCAGUAUUUCUAUAGCACUGUGGCUUGGUGUCAUCGCAUCUGUGUUCUUCCUUUACUUGUACUGGAGGAACAUUAAUCUCAAAGCAAGUGUACAUAAUUCAGAGAUGGAAGAGAACAAUUCAGGCCCUGAAAAAACUACAAAUCAUACUUUCGAAAAAG